rfam:Hymenobacter sp. DG25B, complete genome.
GCCUCCUUAGCUCAGCUGGUAGAGCAACUGACUUGUAAUCAGUAGGUCGCUGGUUCGAUCCCGGCAGGAGGCU